UGGCUCAGAGGUUGAGAGCACUGGCUGCUCUUCCAGAGAACCUGAGUUCAAUUCUCAG
rnacentral:tRNA from 1 species